GCCGAGUCCAAACGCUCUCAAGUGUUUUGGGGUUGGAGUCAAAAGGAGUUAAGGUGUGGCACGUGAACCACGCAACGUAGGUGGAAAUUUUGGACUCAGUGUCUUGUCGCUGACUGGUGUCUGAGCGGGUGAAUCGCGCCUCCCCGGCAGUAUAGACAUUACCCUCCUUCUUGAGUAGACUUUUACGGCUCCCCGACUAUGGACGGAGUCGUUGAGAUAAGAAUUGAGGAAAGUCAAAGAUCAGAGUUUGCUUAAAAUGCAGUAGAGGAACCAGGACUCCUAGACAGAUUCCCAGUCACCUAGAGGCUCACAUCUGUGCCCGAGAGUCCAGACUCCCAACUGGAUCAUCACAGAGGCUUCCUACAGGAGGCCGUGCUUGAUGGAACUCAAAGAUCCACAAUUUUAGGGAUCAGAGUUGUGUGGAGAGGGUAUUCAACGGGUGGCCGACUGGCUGGAUCUUGUCUGAUACCAACCCCGAGGCUGCUCUGGGCUUCCUUUUCAUGAGCCAAACUUGUUCUCUGACUAGUUGCUGGUCAAUCACUCAAUCUCUCCAGGCCUCAGUUUCCUCAUUUGUAAAAUGAGAUUGGACCAGAUAGUCUCUUCCAGCACUUCUUUUCUGAAGCUAACAACAGAACAAAGGUGCUGAUGCAAGAGAACAUGGGGCCUGUUGGUGACACUGGUUGAUCUAAGACAUUUAGACGUGUUUUUUGGUAGCACCUGCAAACCACUGACAGUUUAGGACCAGACCAUGAACAUGAUCAAGGCUGUGUUUUAGCAAAAAUAAUAGGGAGACAGUCUAGAGAGGAUAAGACUAAAGAUGGGAGAAUCACUUGGGAGGCUGGGACAACCACAUACGGAGGGGUUGCCCGGGGAACUGAAAAGGGGUAAAUUCAAGGGACACCACAGAGGAGAGAUAUGGCACAAAGUGGCCACAACCUGCAACUGACUGGGAGAGGGGAGCAAUGGAAGAGCGCUGAUUGGUGCAUUUUACAAUCCUCUUGUAAGACAGAAAAGUUCUCCAAGUCCCCACUCGACCCAGGAAGUCCAGCUGGCUUCACCUGGAGUCUCUGA
rnacentral:lncRNA from 1 species